rnacentral:rRNA from 1 species
GACGAACGCUGGCGGCGUGCUUAACACAUGCAAGUCGAACGGAAAGGCCCUGCUUGCAGGGUACUCGAGUGGCGAACGGGUGAGUAACACGUGGGUGAUCUGCCCUGCACUUCGGGAUAAGCUUGGGAAACUGGGUCUAAUACCGGAUAGGAGCCAUCUUUAGUGUGGUGGUUGGAAAGUUUUUUCGGUGUAGGAUGAGCUCGCGGCCUAUCAGCUUGUUGGUGGGGUAAUGGCCUACCAAGGCGGCGACGGGUAGCCGGCCUGAGAGGGUGUACGGCCACAUUGGGACUGAGAUACGGCCCAGACUCCUACGGGAGGCAGCAGUGGGGAAUAUUGCACAAUGGGCGCAAGCCUGAGGCAGCGACGCCGCGUGGGGGAUGAAGGCCUUCGGGUUGUAAACUCCUUUCGCUAGGGACGAAGCGUUUUUGUGACGGUACCUAGAUAAGAAGCACCGGCUAACUACGUG